UCUGUUACUCUCACUAUAUUAGAAAUGGUCGAACCGUAAACCAAUUAAGGAUGAUGUAAGGAAGACAUAAAGAUGUAUUUCCAGUUAUCACAAAUAUAUAAUCAAUUGACAACAACUUCAUUAUGUCCAGCGUAGGACAACGUAGAAGAGUUUCCGUACCUUCUAAUAUUAUAAUAUCUCACUAUAUUUGUAGCUAAAUCAGUUUUCUCUAGCAUAAAUACUCACUCCAUUCUUGGAGUUUAAGCUUUUCUAUAUGAUGAUAUUAGUAGUUUGAUCCCAAAAAAAAAACGGUCGAACUGUACAUUGUAAUUGGAGAAAGAAAACAAACAAAAAUCAACCGAAGAAUUUUAAGGUAUAUGAAACAAAGAUUGGAAAUAACAAUUCUUUGCAAUUAAAGAAUAAGACAAUAAAAUUGUAAAAAUAAAAAAUAAAACAAAAAAAUAUACACAGAAAGAAAGAUUUAGUAAAAUAAAAUCAUAAUAUAGUUUCCAUAAUUGAUUGUGCUCAGUUACACUAAAAAUCUAAAUUUACAACAUACACAAUUUUAUUUACAUAUUUAAACCUAUUAUCUAACUAAAAUGAUUCUAAAAAAAGUGCCAGCAUGAAGAGUUAGAAAUAUACGAUAAAAUAUAAUACAUAAUGUUAAAAAUACAUUAUCACUCAUCACUAAAAAAACAUGUUAGUAGUAAUAAAAAUGAAAUGACAACACAUUUAUUAAAACCAUAGAACGACACGCAACAAGGUGUUAUUAAAUAUACAAACUAAAAAUUAAAUAUGCUCA
rnacentral:lncRNA from 1 species